rnacentral:rRNA from 1 species
CGGGUGAGUAACGCGUGGGUAAUCUGCCUUUGUCAAGGGGAUAACAUACCGAAAGGGAUGCUAAUACCGUAUGAAAUAUAUUCAAGGCAUCUUGGAUAUAUCAAAGAUGAGUCGGACAAAGAUGAGCCCGCGUUCGAUUAGCCAGUUGGUGAGGUAAAGGCUCACCAAAGCAACGAUCGAUAGCCGGCCUGAGAGGGUGAACGGCCACAUUGGAACUGAGAGACGGUCCAAACUCC